CCUACGGGUGGCUGCAGUGAGGAAUAUUGGUCAAUGGUCGGAAGUCUGAACCAGCCAUGCCGCGUGCAGGAUGACGGCUCUAUGAGUUGUAAACUGCUUUUGUACGGGAAUAAUAGUUGUUACGUGUAGGGAUUUGAAUGUAUCGUACGAAUAAGGAUCGGCUAAUUCCGUGCCAGCAGCCGCGGUAAUACGGAGGGUUCGGGCGUUAUCCGGAUUUAUUGGGUUUAAAGGGGGCGUAGGCUGUUUGUUAAGUUUGCGGUUAAAUGUCGGGGCUAAACCCCGGCACUGCGGUGGGUACUGGCUGGCUGGAGUGGGCGAGACGUAUGCGGAAUGCGGGGUGUAGCGGUGAAAUGAGUAGAGAGCAGGAAGAACGCAGAUUGCGGAGGCAGCAUACGGCAGCGCUACUGACGCUGAAGCUCGAAGGCGGGGGUAUCGAACAGGAUUAGAUACCCCAGUAGUC
rnacentral:rRNA from 1 species